AUGCUUAGGUUUUUCUAAUAGUCUAUCCUUCCUCAUCUGAGUAUGGGAGAAAGUUUCUGAUAUUAUUGCUUGCAUGAAACUGACUCUGAAUUGUUAACUUGCUUAAUCUGUGUAGCCUCCUCUUAAUCUUCUACUCAAGCGACAACGACACUAGUGUAGAUAAAGAUCUUGCUUUGGAUGAUGCUACUAAAUCGUCAAUUUUAAGUGUGUCGUGGUGCAAGAGGUGGGUUUGAAGGGACAUGCAUAUCAUAUAUUAUUGAAGAUUUAACGUUAUCAAGCAUGUCACAUUAACGAUAGAGAUUAAAGUAUAAAUAAUACACUUCGGUGUUAGCAGAAAAUUAACCAUACGGAGUCAGACAGAUGGAGAAUGUAAAGAGAAUUACUUUAUAGGUGAGCAAAAUCAAACCAAACAGUUAACCAGAUCUUAUGGACUGCAUGCCAAGUAGGAGCUCUUAUUUACCUUAGUUUAUUUAAAUUAUAUUGAAUUUUAUAAAGACUCCACAAAUAGUUUCUUAAAGAAAAGAAAAGACGCAUCAUAAAGUGAGAAGUUCCCACUGUAGUUUUGCGAAGUUAUCUUUUCCUUUGCCUUAACUAGUAUGCUUUUUCAGGAAGCUUAACAGAAGUGAAAUUUAGAGGAUAUGAUACUUAUUAUCACCUGCUUCCUCAAAUUUUAAGAAAUUUAACCUAUCUUAUUACCAUGCAUUAGAAUCGUACCACUUCUCCUAGCUAUACCUGAGAAAAUUCUCGCUUCUACACUUAUGUCCCAUCUUACAAGGUCUUCAAGGUAAUGGGACAGCCGCUUCUCAACCUAGGGAUAUGUGCCUUCUUU